rnacentral:rRNA from 1 species
ACUCCUACGGGAGGCAGCAGUGGGGAAUUUUGGACAAUGGGGGCAACCCUGAUCCAGCCAUGCCGCGUGCGGGAAGAAGGCCUUCGGGUUGUAAACCGCUUUUGUCAGGGAAGAAAUCCUUUGGGCUAAUACCCUGGGGGGAUGACGGUACCUGAAGAAUAAGCACCGGCUAACUACGUGCCAGCAGCCGCGGUAAUAC